rnacentral:rRNA from 3 species
CGAAUGGGGAAACCCAGUGUGACUCGUCACACUAUCAUUAACUGAAUCCAUAGGUUAAUGAGGCGAACCGGGGGAACUGAAACAUCUAAGUACCCCGAGGAAAAGAAAUCAACCGAGAUUCCCCCAGUAGCGGCGAGCGAACGGGGAGGAGCCCAGAGCCUGAAUCAGCAUGUGUGUUAGUGGAAGCGUCUGGAAAGGCGCGCGAUACAGGGUGACAGCCCCGUACACAAAAGCGCAUGUGCUGUGAGCUCGAUGAGUAGGGCGGGACACGUGGUAUCCUGUCUGAAUAUGGGGGGACCAUCCUCCAAGGCUAAAUACUCCUGACUGACCGAUAGUGAACCAGUACCGUGAGGGAAAGGCGAAAAGAACCCCGGCGAGGGGAGUGAAAAAGAACCUGAAACCGU